rnacentral:rRNA from 1 species
GUCUACGGCCAUGCCACCCUGAACAAGCCCAAUCUCAUCUGAUCUCGGAAGCUAAGCAGGGUCGGGCCUGGUGGGAGACCACCUAGGAAGACCGGGGGCUAUAGGCA